AAACUUUAUUGGUCCUAAACCUAAUCAAACAAACUUUCUACAGGGAAUAGCAAGGUUGGACGUGUUAUAUUAGCUGCUGCUGCUAAGCAUCUUACACCUGUGAUUUUGGAGCUUGGUGGGAAAUGUCCAGUAAUCGUUGAUUCAAACAUCAACUUAACAGUUGCGGCAAGAAGAAUAAUCUCAGGCAAGUGGGGAUGCAACAGUGGACAAACCUGUGUUUCACCUGAUUAUAUAAUAACUACAAAGGACUAUGCAUCAAAAUUUGUUGAUGCUCUUUCAUCUGAACUAGAAAAAUUCUAUGGAAAGGAUCCUGUGAAUUCAAAGGACUUGUCAAAAAUUAUAAAUUCCCGACAUUUUGAACGUCUAACAAA